UAGCUGCAGCCACAGCUCGGCUCACCUGCUCAUCUACUCGUCUCCGAUUCACUGCCUUAUUCGCUGUUUCUCGAGCCGCCUGCAAUAUUUUCAAGUU
rnacentral:sRNA from 1 species